UACGAAGGGGGCUAGCGUUGCUCGGAAUCACUGGGCGUAAAGCGCACGUAGGCGGCUCUUUAAGUCAGGGGUGAAAUCCUGGAGCUCAACUCCAGAACUGCCUUUGAUACUGAGGAGCUCGAGUCCGGGAGAGGUGAGUGGAACUGCGAGUGUAGAGGUGAAAUUCGUAGAGUAUUCGCAAGAACACCAGUGGCGAAGGCGGCUCACUGGCCCGGUACUGACGCUGAGGUGCGAAAGCGUGGGGAGCAAACAGGG
rnacentral:rRNA from 1 species